rnacentral:rRNA from 1 species
UACGUAGGGGGCAAGCGUUGUCCGGAAUUAUUGGGCGUAAAGAGCUCGUAGGCGGUUUGUCGCGUCGGCCGUGAAAUCUCCACGCUUAACGUGGAGCGUGCGGUCGAUACGGGCAGACUUGAGUUCGGUAGGGGAGACUGGAAUUCCUGGUGUAGCGGUGAAAUGCGCAGAUAUCAGGAGGAACACCGGUGGCGAAGGCGGGUCUCUGGGCCGAUACUGACGCUGAGGAGCGAAAGCGUGGGGAGCGAACAGG